rnacentral:lncRNA from 1 species
GCCUCUCUGUGGAGGCAACGUUUAGGCUGAGACCGGAAAGUCAAGAAAAAGUCAGAUCCUGAAUUACAGGGUUGAACAGCUCCAGGAAGAGGGAGCUACAAUAAAAAGGCUCUAAGAGCGAUCACACUUGGCAUGUUUAAGGAAGAAACAGAAAGCAAGGGAGAUAUUGAAUUUAAUCAUCACUGCAUUUUUCAUGACUAUAGUUCCCAUCUGGAAAUGCAAAUUUACAAAUUAAAACAUCAAUAACAUUCUUUCCUAGGAUAACUGAGGAUCUCUCUGCCACAGACUUAAUGCUCCUGUGCAUAAAGUGAGUGUGAAGUUUGAGAAUGUUGCUCUGGUUGAACCUGGUGGUGAGUUUCAAGUCUCUGUGUAACUGAUGGAGUUUCAUAGAGAGCCCAUGGCUGCUGCUCUACCUUUUACAGCUCUAUCUUUCACAUGUCUGUUAAAUCAUUGAAGCCAGAUGCAGUGGCUCACGCCUCUCAUCCCAGCACUUUGUGAGUCUAAGGUGGGAGAAUCACAUGAGCCCAGGAAUUUGAGACCCACCUGAGCAACAAAGUGAGACCACAUCUCUAUAAAAACUACAGAAAAAUUAGUGGUCCCAACUACUUGGAAGGCUGAGCUGGGAGGAUUGCUUGACUCCCUAGAAGUCAAGCCUGCAGUGAGCCAGUAUGUAUGAUAUAUAUAUAUACACACAUAGACACACAUACAUAUAUGAUGUACAUAUAUAUACACACAUAGAUAUAUGUAGAUACAAUCUACAUAUAUAUACACAUACCUAUUAUCGCUUCCUUCCUUUCAUUUCUUCCCACUGAUUGCCUUCAAAAAUAUCUUGUAUUACACAUGGUUUCAGGUAUGAAGAUGAAUGAGAUGGAGCACACAAUGAAAUAGAUCUAAAAAUAUAUGUACAUAUAUAUGUAGAUCAUAUGUGUAUAUCUCAUUGAUCUCUAAUACUCUAAAGAAAAUUAAUUCCAUGGGUCCAUUGUCUUUGUAGUGCUCAUUAGCUUACUCUCCACUACUUAUUGUUGCUUCUAUUUGCCCUAAGCUUACUGCCCCGCUCUUUUUAAUAUCCUGGAAGUGAUGAUCUAGGGCAUUAGCUCCCUAAUACCAGUUUGUAAAUUAAGCACCCAUCUAUGGACUCGUGGAGGUCCCUGAUGAAGUUCACACCAGUCAGCAGCAAAAUGGGAAACUGAGGCCAGAGAAAUGAUUUUUCAUAAAGCUAAAUUUAUGUAACUUCAAAAUAUUUGUUCUCUCUGAAAUAAGGUCCCAUGUUUUCUGCAUUUUAAGGGUUUUUGCCACAAUGACAUAAUGUAAAUGAUAUUUCUUUUGAGAAAAAUAAACUAUUUGUUACCUUAUAUCAGAAACCCAUUUUUCCUUCUAACAGAACUCAUUGGGCCUUGAAAUCCAAGGGCCUGAGCACCAAGGAACUGGUCAAAGCCCAUGCAUGCAUGCCUACAGAGCCUUAUAUUGUGUCUCUUGUCAGGAACCCUAUGAAUAUUAACCCAUUCUUCCAUGAUCUGAGUAUUAAUGGAAUGGAAUGUGUGUGUGGGAAGGAAAUUUGAUUUCAAGGCUUCAACUCUGUUAUCUGUUCCAUUUGCAAAAAGCCAUCCCCAUUGAUAACUCUCAUUUGUGUACUUUUGAGGGUUUGCUCCUCAUAGCUCUGCUUUCGUUAUCUUCUAAAAUGUAUUUAAUACUGAAAUAAAAUACAGCCGUAGCUUAGAUGUAUGAUUCACUCUAACAAACAUUGUGUGAAUUUUUAUCCCCCUGAGCUUCUUGGAAGUGUUAUUACAUAAGAUAGUGGCAUGGAU